UGGGGAAUAUUGGACAAUGGGCGAAAGCCUGAUCCAGCCAUGCCGCGUGUGUGAAGAAGGUCUUCGGAUUGUAAAGCACUGUAAGUUGGGAGGAAGGGCAGUAAGCGAAUACCUUGCUGUGUUGACGUUACUGACAGAAUAAGCACCGGCUAACUCGGUGCCAGCAGCCGCGGUAAUACAGAGGGUGCAAGCGUUAAUCGGAAUUACUGGGCGUAAAGCGCGCGUAGGUGGUUCGUUAAGUUGAAUGUGGAAGCCCCGGGCUCAACCUGGGAACUGCAUCCACGACUGGCGAGCUGGCGUAGAGCAGAGGGUGGUGGAAUUUCCUGUCUAGCGGUGAAAUGCGUAGAUAUGAGAAGGAACACCAGUGGCGAAGGCGACCCCCUGUGCUCAUACUGCCACUGAGGUGCGAAAGCGUGGGGAGCAAACAGG
rnacentral:rRNA from 1 species